AUUGAACGCUGGCGGCAGGCUUAACACAUGCAAGUCGAGCGGAGCGAGGGUGCUUGCACCUUAGCUUAGCGGCGGACGGGUGAGUAAUGCUUAGGAAUCUGCCUAUUAGUGGGGGACAACAUUCCGAAAGGAAUGCUAAUACCGCAUACGCCCUACGGGGGAAAGCAGGGGAUCUUCGGACCUUGCGCUAAUAGAUGAGCCUAAGUCGGAUUAGCUAGUUGGGGGGGUAAAGGCCUACCAAGGCGACGAUCUGCAGCGGGGCGGAGAGGAUGAUCCGCCACACUGGGACUGAGACACGGCCCAGUCUCCUACGGGAGGCAGCAGUGGGGAAUAUUUGACAAUGGGCGGAAGCCUGAUCCAGCCAUGCCGCGUGUGUGAAGAAGGCCUUUUGGUUGUAAAGCACUUUAAGCGAGGAGGAGGCUCUUAAGGUUAAUACCCUUGAUGAGUGGACGUUACUCGCAGAAUAAGCACCGGCUAACUCUGUGCCAGCCGCCGCGGUAAAAC
rnacentral:rRNA from 1 species